GCCUUCUUGUGAUCACAGGACUCAGACUUAUGCCUAGUGGUAGGAGACAGCUUGAAAGCAGAGAAGGAGCUAACAGCAUCAGUCACUGAGGCCAUUCCUGUAUCACGAGACUGGGAGCUGCUUCCCGGUGCUGCUGCCUCUGCUGAGCCACAAUCCAAGAACCUGGGUUCUGGGCACUGUGGCCCGGAGCCCAGCUCCUCAGGCCAGCGCCUGUAUCCUGAGGUUUUCUAUGGCAGUGCUGGGCCUUCCAGUUCUCAGGUAGGCCCUGCUUCCCAUUGCAUGACCCCUUCAGUAAAUAAUUUUUUUUCUGCCUGGUAUGUAUUUAUAAUCAAGCCUUUCUAUGUUGUAGAGUUGUGAAAUACCACUUUGUCACAUCAUUUUUCCUCCCUACUUUUUGCUUCUAUGGGUGGGAUGGUGAUCUUUUUUCUUGACCACAGAUACUAAAGCUGUUUCAACCCUGCUCCUCUCCUGCAGAUCUCUGGGGGAGCCAUGGACUCUCAGUUACAUCCAAACAGUGGAGGCUUCCGUCCUGGGACACCCUCACUGCACCCUUACAGAUCACAGCCCCUAUACCUACCCCCCGGCCCAGCCCCUCCCUCAGCACUGCUCUCUGGGGUAGCUCUCAAGGGCCAGUUUCUGGAUUUCUCCACACUGCAAGCUACAGAGCUGGGGAAGUUGCCGGCUGGAGGAGUUCUCUAUCCUCCACCUUCCUUCCUCUACUCUCCGGCUUUCUGCCCCAGUCCUUUGCCCGACACAUCGUUGCUUCAGGUACGCCAGGAUCUGCCAUCCCCUUCGGAUUUUUAUUCUACCCCUCUGCAGCCUGGUGGCCAAAGUGGCUUUCUCCCUUCAGGGGCUCCUGCCCAGCAGGUAUAUUGUAUCUUCACACUUCCCCUUCAUUUGAUUUCUCUGUCCAGUUGCUGGCUUUGAUUUUCCCUGGUUUUCUGACAUUCCUCCCUGCCCCCAACAUGCACACCCAAAUUUCUUGUUACAGAUGCUUCUACCCAUGGUAGACUCACAGCUGCCUGUGGUGAACUUUGGCUCCCUGCCGCCAGCACCACCUCCUGCCCCAC
rnacentral:sRNA from 1 species